rnacentral:sRNA from 7 species
AAGGAGAAGGAGAAGGGGCGGCAGCUCCGUGGGGCAGCGCUGCUUUCCAUACGGGUUAGACACGGCGAGAGGCCAAGGUCAAGUUGAAAGCUGCAGCCUAGCCAAUGUG